rnacentral:rRNA from 1 species
UGGGGAAUAUUGGACAAUGGGCGAAAGCCUGAUCCAGCCAUGCCGCGUGUGUGAAGAAGGUCUUCGGAUUGUAAAGCACUUUAAGUUGGGAGGAAGGGCAGUAAGCGAAUACCUUUCUGUUUUGACGUUACCGACAGAAUAAGCACCGGCUAACUCUGUGCCAGCAGCCGCGGUAAUACAGAGGGUGCAAGCGUUAAUCGUAAUUACUGGGCGUAAAGCGCGCGUAGGUGGUUCGUUAAGUUGAAUGUGAAAGACCCGGGCUCAACCAUGGAACUGCAUCCAAAACUGACGAGCUAGAGUAGGGCAGAGGGUGGUGGAAUUUCCUGUGUGGCGGUGAAAUACGUAGAUAUAGGAAGGAACACCAGUGGCGGAGGCGACCACCUGCGCUCAUACUGACACUGAGGUGCGAAAGCGUGGGGAGCAAACAGA